GCUAGCACUUGGAAAGGGUUUGCAGACAGCACUUUCUGAUUAGAACAGAAGGCAAACUCUAUCACCGAUCAGGACCAUGGUGCUUUAUCACUUUGACAUGUCCCUCAGGACAGACUUUCUCUCUUGUUCUUGAGCUCCCAUGUAUCACUGAGGCAGAUCAUGGGUUCUUUAUGUGGUCUCUUGAUAAGUUAUAUACUCUCAGGAUAUCAGCUACCAUUUGCACAUGGCAACUUCCCUGGGCACAGCAUGGAAAAAGCUUCUGAAUUCCUGGAACUUAAUUUUCUUGCCUGAGUGAUCCCAGAGAUCUUUCUAGCUUAUCAGGCUCUGACAGUAAUUCUCAAGCCUCUGGUCCCCAGGAAUAUUUUUGUUUUCUUCACUGUAGGACCAUGAUACUUGAUAGGCCACUGUUUUCCUAAAUUACCCCUAAGUCUCUCAGACUGCUAUAAACUGCUCCAAAGUUCCCUCUCUGUUGCCUACAACUUUAUAUAUCAGCAUCCUUCUAGAUAAUUUUCUUGGCCCUGUUUUCUAGCUUUCAUAUCAUUCUCUGGUGAAGAUCCAUCAAAGAGGUGGUUAAGUUACCGAAGAGGUACAGGUAUGACAGUGGUCACCUUCCCACUCUGACAUCUCUCUUUUCUCUGGGAAAGAGAUUUGUAAAGAGAGACUCCUUUGGUAUAGGCAAGAAAUUUUACUUUUUAAUGACAGUAACCUUCUUUACUAGAUGAAAUAUAAAAUUUUCUGGGCCUUUUCCUCCUCUCUCUGCUACUAUACGGCCUUUUCUCACUCUCACCCUAAUUUCCUAGUUUGUGCUCCAUUUGAUUCUUCAUCGUGUUUGCCCACACCCCACAUGUAGACCAUCCUUUGUUCUUUUUGCUAAUUUUCCUGGGCAAAACCUAUUGUCAUGGACCUAGUUAAUGUUGUUUUAGUUAGUGUCUCUUCCAUAUUAAAAAUCCUUCUUGACCCUGUAUAGUCUCUCAUUAGCUCACUCACAGGCAUGCUCUUGAAAAAAAGAGCCUAUAACAACCACCAUCUCUUCUACCUCCCUAUGUUUCAGCCCCUGUAGUUGGGCUUCUGCUUCCACCAUUUUUCUGAAACAAUAUCAAAGACUGUUGUUGAUCUAAUGGCUAAAUAAUGAGUUUUCCCCAAUUCUUAUAUUAAUAUCUCCAUUGCAUUUAACAAUGCUAACCAUUUCCUUUACGUCUCUCUCUCCCUAUUUGGCUUGUAUGGCAUGCGUUGUCCUUGUUCUUCCACCUCUUUGUACAUUCCUCCUCUGCAGUUUUUGGACUUCUAUACUUCUGCUUGCUUCUUGAAUGUGGCCAUUCUCUGGAACUCAUUCUCAAUCUUCUUUUCUUCUUAUGUUACCCACUUUCUCUGUGACCACCAUUUUUAUGUGCAUAAGUCAAACUAAGUUUUACUUUUAGUCCAAACCUCUUUGCUUAGCUGCAGAUUCUAGUUGGGCAUCUCUACUCACAUGAUCCCCAGGUACCUCAGGUUAUAGAUGUCUAAAUCCAGUCAUCUUUUCCUCUGUAUCUGUUUCUCUUCUAGUUUUUCUGGGUGUUACCUAAGCCAGGAAUAUGGAAGCCAUUCUAAACUAUUCUCCUUCCAUGUUCCCAGCUAGUCCCCCUUUAUAGCAAAUCAGAUACCAAAUCCUAUCAAAUUCUCUCUUCAAUAUCCAUCCAUCCUGUCCCUCUGAGUCUCUCCAUAAAAUUAUUAUUCAGACUCCCUAUCUCCAGAUCUUUCUAAACAAAUCUCAUCCCAUACUCCCUUGAUUAAAAUCCUUUUGAUAGUUCAGUCCCUCCGUUUCUCAAACUGGAGUCCACAUAACCUGGCAGAUUCAUAGGCAUACUGAAAGUCACAGGAUGAAAUUAUCCUAAAAUUUUCAUUUGAGGGUAAAUAAUUUAAAGUGGAAUGGAAAUUUAGCAUGCAUGCACUAGUAAGAGAAAAUAGAUGUCAAAGAAUUCCUGCUAGUCUGAAGGGCUUCAAGCUAAGAUACCACAUUCCCUGGGGAUUUUUUUUUUUUUUGAGUCAGGGACAUAACAUUCACUUCAAUGGAAAAGUUUUAAAAGUAACUCACAUUUCCUGGAAAGGCAAGUAAGAUUCUGUGAUCUAACCCCCUGCCUCCUCCUGACUUAUCCUCUACAUUGUCUUGCUCUCCACUUAAUUCCAAAAACCAUAUAAACUGCUUACAGUUUCCUGAAUGUAAUAAGCUCUUUCAAAUCUCUAUUCCUUUAUCCACACUGUUCCUCUGCUUUGCUCUAUUGUUCUGUCUGACUAAUACCCAAUUAUCUUUCACAACUCAUCUCACAAGUCACCCCCCAGUGAAGCUUUCCACCGUCCCAGUCUGUUCACAACUCAACACCACUCUCACCAGGAAAGGUCAGUUACAUCCUGUUUUAUGCUCCUCUUUUGUACCCUGUACACUGCAUAUUCUGGCUCCUGCUGCACUUUAUUGUCCCUCAAGUUUAAGCACACUGAACUGUUAGAGUUUGAAUCAGUUCUCCCACCUGAGAACUGACUGAUCUUUGGCAAGAUAAUGUGUGUGUCUGGUAUACUAUAGCAUCUGGCCCAUCAUAAACAGUAACAGUGUUAGUGCCAUUACAAUUAUUUCUGUUAUGAUUUGACUUCAGAGAGGUAGUCUAAAAUAACAUUUUGGUUGAAAGAGCAGGUUCUAGUGCUAGAAUUGCCUGGGUUCAUGUCUUACCCCAGCCACUUACUAACUGUAACCUUGGGCAAGUUAAUUUAUCUAUGACUCUUAUUUUCUUAUUUCUGUGAAUAAUAAUAAUAGUGGCUAUUUCAUGGGGUUGCUGCAAGGUUUAAGUGAGUUAAAUGCUUAGAAUGGUGCCUGGGAGUAGGACGAAUUCAGUAUACAUUAGCUGUCCCCAGGAUAGCAGCUAGAAAUUUGCUCUCAGUAAUUGUUGCUUGAAUAAAUGAUUGACCAAUCCCUCUAAGAGGUUGUAACCUCUCCCUCUACACUCCCUGUGCUGAUGCUUCAGGAACUGUCCUCAGGAGACACCUUUUGUGCAGAAUUCAUUCCCUAUGAUAACUCCCUAGCAACUAGUGCAGAAGGGAUAGGAGGAUAUUUUUAUAUUGGAUUGCCUGACAUGAUGAAUCAAUUUUUAAUCUAAUUUCUCCCACUUAUUUGUUGUCUGUGUUUUUCUCUUAAGUCCCAGUUUGGUAUUAAAUUGUGUUAUUUCAGUUUGAGCACAAAUUACAAGCUCCCUCACCAUUUUUCAUCAUUUCUGAAUAGUAUUUCCUCGCUGUUCAAACCAGUUAAAGGCUCAUUCCAGUCCUCCUAUAUUCUCUCCCAGAGGGACUCUUCAUCACUCACAGUUUCUCUCUCUGCAGUUGUGAUGAGUCCCUGCCUCCCUUGUCUGGGCUUUCCAGUUGGGGCUCAAGUCUUCCUGAUUGGCCAUGUGUAAUUCACUGGAUCAGAACCAGAGCUCCAUGCUUGCUUCUCUUCCCCUCAAACUCAUCACCAGUCCUUCAGACUGUAUUUUAUGGCAUCUUCCACCAUUCUUUUUUAAAAAAUAUUUUUAGUUGUACAUGGACACAAUACCUUUAUCCCUGAGCUACAACCCCAGCCCCUUCUACCAUUCUUACUACUUUGCUUUUAAGUGCUAUCUGUUACAGUCAUAAGAAAAUAAAUAUCCACAGGCCAUAUGCUGCCUCACCCCUCCGUGACUUGACAUGUUCUACCCACUUGGAAUGUCUGCCUUCUCUUUCCUGCUUCUACCUGGUGGAAAAUUCAUCCUUCCAGUUCAAGUGUCACCUGCUCCUGUAAAAUCUUCAUAACCUCUUCCCUGUAUACUUGAUCAUUCUUCAACUACCUCUCCUGUACCUCUACACACUUCUUUAUAGCACUCAAAAUUCUAUGGUAAUUUAUUUUUUAUAAGUUCAAAUCCUGGCCUGGAUACUUACCCACAUAUGACCUUAGGCAAGUUGCUUUACUUCCAAGAACCUUAGUUGCCACCUCUGUAAAAUAGGAUUAUAGUACUGACCUCAAAAGUAUGGAGCAUAUUUCAAAUAAAAUUCAAACCUAUAAGUACUCUUAAUUUUCUAUAGGAUUAAGUCCAAGCUUCUCAGAAGGGCAUACAAGAGCCUUCCAGCAAACUGUCAGUGCUAUUACCCUAUUCUCUCUCCUGAGAAAUCACUUUUGUCUGGUGAUAUAUUGGACUGUUCUGAUUGUGACACAUUACAAUUAAAUUAGUUUAACCAAAAAAAAAAAAAAAUAAAGAUCCAAUCAUAUUUGGGUUAUGCAAAUGAUUUCAGAUGGGCUCAGGGGCUCAAAUGUCUGAGCUCUGUCUCUGUAUUUCUCCAUUCCACAUCAUUAUAUCUCAUCUCAUGGAAAAACUUUGGGUUUGCCAGGGUUAAAUGCCAUUUAGAUUGGAUUAAUGGGGGCAUGGGGAAGGACACCAGGAUUAAUGAACUAGAGGAGUCUAGGAGGAAAACCUUAAAUGAAAGCGGAGAUGGGAGAGUGAAUUCAGCCUUCACAGUAUGCUUUGUAUGUUUUCAUCUAUACAGAGAAUCCUGAGAUUUCUAUUUUUUCUCCUGUCCCUUCCUUUCUCCUGAAUUUAAAAUUACUGUUUCUGUUGUCUGCUAAAAUGCACCAUCUCACCUCAAACUCAGGAUAACCCAGAUUGCUUUCUUUUUCUCCAUUUGCUCCAUGUGAGUUAUCCAACUUGCCAGUCUUGUUUAGUUUGGGAUCCUCUCUCUGCUCUUCCCCCACUUUCCACCGUUGGUCUAGGUCAGGCCUUAUUGUGUCAGGGUAGUUCCGCUGUGGGGAUCCCCAGCUGGUCUCUUGAUGAUAAACCUACUGUCACCAGGUUUGUCUUUCAAAACCUAACCAGGAUCAUAUCAGCCUCCUACUCAAUCUUCAGGGACAUUCCCUGUACAAAUUAAAUUCUUCACUUUUUAUCCAAAACACUUCAUGAUUUCAACCUACCUUUAACCUUCUAUCAUAGGGAGGCCUUUCAUUCACUGCAUCUUUUAGACACACUGAGUCCCCUUCCGUUAUACUGUGCCUGUCCUUGCUUUCCUGAGUUGGUUUCUUUGUCCCUGUAUUUUCCUCAGCCAGAAAUACCUGUGUUGCUUCCACCUUGCUUGCUAUGUGAUCUUGAGCAAACCCCUCAACCUCUCUGAUUCUAUUAUUCUGCUAAGAGGCAAUAAUUGCAUUGACCUUACAGGAAUCAAUCACAAGAGCAUAUGGAAAGCAGUUGGAUGCAUGAUUUUCAGAGAAUGUACUCUUGGCCCUUCUCACACAUAUUCUGGGUCUUUCUAGCUCCUUCAUCCUGAUAACCUGCCUUGGUUGUUUCCUAACAAAAAGCCUCCCUCUUUUCUCUCCAGAGCUUUUCCUGCAAGUUUUGUCUCAUUCCAUCCCUCUUCCUGAGUUUCUUCAGUUCAAGGAACACGAAAUGAUAUCUACAAUGUGUGGCACUGGCUGUCCACUGAUGGAUCAGACCUUUCCCUGACUUUUUAGGGGUCCAGGCAUGCCUUCAAAUACCAAAUGAUGAGUGUUACAUGAAGUCUCUCCCUUCUGGCCAGAUGUCUUUCCAGACCCAGUCCCUUCAGCCAAGAUCUCAGGCAGAGGACGCCAGUUAGCUGACUGAGGCCCAGGGAUGCACAGAAUAAUUAACUGGUGAACCCUUUGCCCUCAACUUUGCUCCCUGUCCUCAUGGGCUUACCCUCCCCUCAGCUUCUCUGUGUGGGUACUAUGUAGGAAAUGCUCCUUGUCUUUUACAGGAUGGGGAUGGGAGAAGUUUGAAUGCCAACCAGAGGCUGCAUUCAUUCCCACCUGGACUUCUAUGGCCCUCACCAAAAACCCUUAGGUCCUGUUGUUCUUAGCCGACUGCCUGUGAGUCCCAUUUACUAUUCCUUCCACUGUUCCACCCACUCACUCAUGAACAUGUAGGAAUGUUUUUUUUUCCAUUUCUUCCUGUCAUUUCUACUUCUCUGACCCUUUUAAUUUUUGUGCUAAUACAGAGCCUCAAACAAUCAUGGGAGCAGAGUUGAUAGAGUUCAUACAGGCUGGACCCUUGGAGAAACUCCACUGGUUUACCUUCUGGGAAAAGAAAACAGAAGGGCCCCUUCAAGAGAAGUGAAUGGAGAGUGAGUCA
rnacentral:lncRNA from 1 species